rnacentral:rRNA from 1 species
GCGGCGGCCUAAGCAUGGCCAGUCGUAGCCGGUAACCAGAGUAAUACUGGUGGCGACCGGCAAACGGGUGCGGAACACGUACACAAUCUACCUUUGUCUGGGGCAUAGCCCGGAGAAAUCCGGAUUAACUCCCCAUAAUAUACAUAAAAGGCAUCUUUUGAGUAUUAAAAAUUUAUUGGACAGAGAUGAGUGUGCGUCCCAUUAGCUAGUUGGUAGGGUAACGGCCUACCAAGGCGACGAUGGGUAGCUGGUGUGAGAGCACGACCAGCCACACGGGCACUGAGACACGGGCCCGACUCCUACGGGAGGCAGCAGUGAGGAAUAUUGGUCAAUGGACGCAAGUCUGAACCAGCCAUGCCGCGUGAAGGAUGAAGGCCUUCUGGGUUGUAAACUUCUUUUACCUGGGAAGAAACCUCUUUUUUCUAAGAGAGUUGACGGUACCAGAGGAAUAAGCACCGGCUAACUCCGUGCCAGCAGCCGCGGUAAUACGGAGGGUGCAAGCGUUAUCCGGAUUUACUGGGUUUAAAGGGUGUGUAGGCGGGCAUUUAAGUCAGCCGGUGAUAUCUCCAGGCUUCACCCUGGAUACUGCCAUUUGAUACUAUUUGUCUUGAAUUUUGUUGAAGUAGGCGGAAUCCGUCAUGUUUCGGUGAAUUGCAUA